rnacentral:ncRNA from 1 species
AAAAUCCUUACAUGAAUAUUAGUUACAAAUAUUUCAAUGCAGCAUACUUGCAUUGAGCUGCUAAGCACGAAGCAGUAAGUGGUUAUGUAUAUAGCGACUUUAGGAAUUGUUGCAGGCUGAGAACGAGCGACUAAACGGUUUGGAGGAUAACUGAUUUAGGGACUUUCUUUAUACCUCUAUAAAAUCGAAGUAAGGCGAUUGAGGGCGAAUGCUAGGGCAGUUAUUAGCAGAUUUACACUAAGUAAAGUAAAGAAAGAGG